AUUUCUUACUUUAGAAGUCUUGCUGUCCUAUUCACUGAGUUCUCCAACUCAUCCUUGAAACCACGCCUCCUCUGAGCUUCAUGAGAAACUCACAGUACAGAGGCAGAGCACCACAUUCAGCUGAGAUCCAAGAGUCUUGAGGAGAGAAGUUUAAUGAAGAUCCAUUUAACAUCUACAGAUGCACAGUCUCUCACUAUCUCUACACAGGGCACUUGAGAAUGCCUUAGAUAAUUCUUGUGAAAGAGGAGACAGCCUUGUUGAGAACUGAGCACUGAAUUGAAUUAUGGGUAGAACAGUAUGUUGGAAACUAACAUGACUAUCCUCCAGAAGCCCCCAAAAGCAGCUGAAAGUGUCAGAUGAUGAUAUUUCCAGCCAAGCAAUGGACAGAAGAUAGUGACCCCAGUGGUUGAAUUUUCAAAAGCUGGAAAAAGCUUAUGAAGAAGGCAACCCUAUAGGAAGACCAGCAGUCUCAACUAUCCUGGACACAUGAGAUCUCUCAGACACUGUGCCACCAACCAGGCUGUAUAUACCAGCUGAUAUGAGGUUCCCAAGACAUAUACAGCAAGAAUUCCUGAAAACAUGUUCCUCCAGCUGAAGUCACUGCUCCUGCUUUAAGAUACAUUGUCCCUGUCACAGUUUUGGAUCAUUCAUCAUUUUCAAAGAAAAGGAUAUACUUCAGGAACCAGUAUCUGACAAAACGAGGAGUCUUGCUGUCCUGUUCACUGAGUUCUCCAACUCAUCCCUGAAACCACGCCUCCUCUCAGCUUCAUGAGAAACUCACAGUACAGAGGCAGAGCACCACAUUCAGCUGAUGGCAUCUGCUUUGGAGUUUGACUUCCUUGUCUCAGUUAUAGAGGGCAUGUCUUCUGCAAAGAAGUUACAAGAUCAAUCUUCAGCUUUUGACAGAGACUAGGAAACACAUGAAGGAGGGUGCCAAGACAUGAAUCAGCAUCACCUAAUGGAUCUUUAAAGUUACUGCAGGAUUUCAUGUCCAUGCCUAGGUAACCCAGUGUGGACAAAUUGAGGAAUGAAUCAGCUGCACUGAUAGUGAUCUCCAAGGAUCUGAUAUCUAUGUCUAGAUAAGUGAUCUCUCUCCUGAUUGGAUCUGACUUCAUUCUCUAUUUGAAUACACCUUCUCAAUCAAUCAGAAGCAAGAAGAGCAAAUAAAUUUAUCUGCAGGAGAAGAUUUGAUCAGUCAGGCUGCUGGUGAUUCUCCAGGACUUAUCUGGUCCUGGAUAUAACCACUGCCAGACUGAAUGGUGCUAAAGAGAAGGGAGAGUGCUUGUGUCACUGUCAGCAGACACAGCCAGUGGAAAGCUGGGAAGGCUGUGCUUGUUUAUUCAGAGUCUCCAUGCAUUGAUUGCUUAGCUCCAUGUUUUUGAUAGUAGCUGUCACCCUAUAGGAAAUUCAGCUAUCUGAUUUGAAGUGUGUUUUACUUUUAUCAGUCAUGAAUGUUUGUGUCUUCUUCAAAGAAGAUACAAGAUUCAAACUUCAGCUUAUGGCACAGACUAGGGAAUAUCUGACAUAUUCAGAUCUUUUGUUUGGCUCCUGUGGGAACAACUGUUGUAGCAAAUAUCACCAAUUAACCACCAUGAAACCUCUGAAAAGGCCAUAGUUAGAUCAUACAGUACCCAGAGUCAAAUUACUCUUCAUACAGUGAUAGUAACCUGUUGGCAUUAAUGGCAGGAGGCAUUUUUAGAUACAACCACAAUUUAUCAUGUUAUUAUUGUUUUAAUUUACUAGAUUGUCUAGGUGGUCAUUUUUCCAAGUCAGUUUUUUUGCUAAAUUACAGUUCAGGGGAUCAUGACCCGUUACAGGAAUCACUGCAUUAUAUUUUGAUUAUCUACACCUUGGUAUUACAACAUGUAACAGGAGAAAAUGGACAGUUAUUUUCACUGUGACCUUGUACUAGUGAAUACCUCUAGACCUAUGCUUUUCUGCUUAUUUGCAUUCUGUCUUUAGAGAUCUAUACUUUGUGAUAUAACAUGGAUAUAUAUGAAACUG
rnacentral:lncRNA from 1 species